UUACUGUUAUAUAGAGACAACAUCAGAGUAGACACAUGCUUUACAGACAAGCUGCGUUUGUGUAUUUUUAUUACCACUAAGACCACUGUAGGGGUUAAUUUACACACUGACCCACAGUGGUUUUACCAGACUGAGCACCAGCUAACUUCUCAUUUAUCUUCCAGUGCAGGAGGAUUUGAGAGGCUGAGGCCACACAAUAUUUGCUUUCUUCUACAACCACUUCUUAAUCUAUUUUAGGACUCGCACAACAGCAGUGUAUAUUUUCAUCUUUAAAGGCCCUGAGUCACCAAGCCCACGGUCAGCCGUUAGUCAAAGUUCGCCCACUGGUGAGCAUUUGCCGCCCUCGUCGGUGUGGUGUGUCCCGCACCGUUGCCCCUCGUUGGCAACCUGUUGGCUUUUUUUUGGCCGAUUCAACAUGCUGAAUAGCACACAGCAGGAGAAACAGAAGUGACUCCCUCUUGGCUUGAGACCAAAACAAACCUGUUACAUAAGGUGCGACCAAAUGAACCGAACUACAGACGACACCAUCACUCCCACUCGCAGUCUCACCUAUGUGCAACAACAAGACCUGAACCUAGGAAAGGUUCUUUGGACCUUGGGAAGGAACGUUGGAGAACCUGAGAACAAGAAUUUCACAGCCAACGCCACUGUAAUCGUUGUGCAUGACAAAUGAAGACUUGAAACACCAGGCCCCCAAGGACAAGCUACACAAACACCUACACAGGUCAAAGGUCAAGGAUAAGGAAUGAGCCUUUGCUGUUGUGACAGAGCACAGAUGUAUUUCUCGCUCUUACCGCCAGAGAAGACCUUCUUGUUGGUGCUGUCAAAGGCCAGGCAGAAGAUGUUGGACAGGUGCUCGCCCUUCAGCUUCACAGGCUUGGAGCGAGCGUGGAUGGCUUGUUCCAUGUGCCACAGCAGCACCCGGCGGUCGUCUCCUCCUGCAACACAUGAUUUAUUAGAUGGAUUGACAAAACCAACACCACAGUGUUGUCUGGAGCAGUGGUUUCCAAACUUUUUGACUUACCUACAACCCCCUGUCAAAGGAUGCAUACGUCUAAGGUCCUUUAAUGACAUGACAGUCAGAGGCGUGAGGGGAAAAAGAGAGAGAGGAUGACAUACAGCAAAGGGCAAUGUGCUGGAAUCAAACCCGCAGCUGCUGCAGACAGGACACUGCCUUUGUACAUGGGGCACCUACCCUACCCACUGAGCUAGUGCACACCCUGAAUGCAUGAAUUUAACUUGUAACAGAGUGUUUCUAAACUGGGAUAUUGCUGCUGUUAUGUAUGGAAAAUCUUCUUCCACCAGUGAAAUAAACAGGACAUCUUUGUGU